GUUAGCGGGUCCUCGGAACAGAUACACGAGUGCUACUUGGUUAGGAAUACUGUAUCGGCUUUUAUUCUAGUGUAGUGCAGGGUCCCAGGUCCCAUUCCUCGCAGCAGCCUGGGGCUUCCGAGCUAGAAGUACAGCUGUCCAGGGCGGACCGCAGCGCCUGGGUCACUCGUUCCACCCGGUCCGCGGGUCGCCCCGCGGAAGUGGAGCAGCCUCCCUGCAGUGCAUCCAGGAAAGCCGGCAGCUGCGAGGGCAGGGAGAAGAGCGGGGCGACGCGGAACGGGGAGGGCACAGAGUCUGGGUGCAGCAGCCCGUCGAAGUAGACCCCGACGUAGCGGCCGGUCGCCCGGCCUUGCAGGAAAUCGGGUAGCACGCAGCUGAGCCAGGCGGCGAGGGCGUCAUGCGGCCCGGGCUCCACUGUCUGGAGCUGCAGCCACUGCUGACACUGCGCCACGGCCGCGGGCGAGAAGAGAAGGAUUACCACGCCACCCUCCUGCAGGAUACGGCGUCGCUGGUGGUGGAACCAGGCUAGGGCUCCGUGCGCGCUCAGCUCGCGGCGGCUCCACAGGUCCACGGCCACGCGCAGUGGCAUCUGGCUCAACGCGGACGCCAGUGCUCCCACCAGACGCUCGUAGCCCGCUCCGUCGGCGGAGUGGAGGAGCAAGGCCGUGCGGGAGCCACGGGCCGCUACAGGGAUAGUGGAGCCUGUGAGGGUGAGCCCGGACCUGCCUUCCCUCCACCCAAUUGAGCCCCAGCGCCACUGUUUGAGACUGUCCUUGGGAAACCAGGACAGGAAAGCACUCACCUUUCCUGCGGUCCUUUUUUAGAAGGAGGAAGAAGAAAAGCGCCGCAGCCAAGAGUAGGCAGGCCAGCCAUACUAGGACCCAGCGCCUGUGGAUGUCUGGAAUAGACAGGGGAAAAUAAUGGGCUAGUAAGAAACCUUUAUCUUUUACUCCACCUUAUCGGAGGAGAAAAAAAAUGAGUCUAUAUACAUGAAGUGAUCUGCCCCAAAGUCGCAUUUGUCAGAGCCCACGCACUGAAAAAGCUCCAUGUGUCUCUGUGA
rnacentral:lncRNA from 1 species